GACGAACGCUGGCGGCGUGCUUAACACAUGCAAGUCGAACGGAGAGGCCCUGCUUUUGUGGGGUGCUCGAGUGGCGAACGGGUGAGUAACACGUGAGUAACCUGCCCUUGACUUUGGGAUAACUUCAGGAAACUGGGGCUAAUACCGGAUAGGAGCUCCUGCUGCAUGGUGGUGGUUGGAAAGUUUCGGCGGUUGGGGAUGGACUCGCGGCUUAUCAGCUUGUUGGUGGGGUAGUGGCUUACCAAGGCUUUGACGGGUAGCCGGCCUGAGAGGGUGACCGGCCACAUUGGGACUGAGAUACGGCCCAGACUCCUACGGGAGGCAGCAGUGGGGAAUAUUGCACAAUGGGCGGAAGCCUGAUGCAGCAACGCCGCGUGCGGGAUGACGGCCUUCGGGUUGUAAACCGCUUUCGCCUGUGACGAAGCGUGAGUGACGGUAAUGGGUAAAGAAGCACCGGCUAACUACAUG
rnacentral:rRNA from 1 species